rnacentral:rRNA from 1 species
GACGACGCUGGCGGCGUGGAUUAGGCAUGCAAGUCGAACGGUAUCAUCCUUUCGGGGGUGAGAGAGUGGCGAACUGGUGAGUAACACGUAGGUUAUCUACCUCAAGACGGGGACAAACCCAGGGAAACUUGGGCUAAUACCGGAUGUGAGCAACUUUUAGUGUUUGAAAGGUGGCGUAAGCUGUCGCUUGGGGAUGAGCCUGCGUCCUAUUAGUUAGUUGGUGAGGUAACGGCUCACCUAGGCAAUGAUAGGUAGGCGGCCUUAACGGGUGGUCGCCCACACUGGGAUUGAGAUACGGCCCAGACUCCUACGGGAGGCAGCAGUCGAGAAUAGUCUACAAUGGUCGGAAGACUGAUAGUGCGACGCCGCGUGAACGAUGAAUCCCUUCGGGGUGUAAAGUUCUUUUAUAUGUGAGCAGUGCUUCUUAUAUUAACAGUAUGGGGAGAGAGAUAUUAGCAUAUGAAUAAGCAACGGCUAACUCCGUG